rnacentral:rRNA from 1 species
UACGAAGGGGGCUAGCGUUGCUCGGAAUCACUGGGCGUAAAGCGCACGUAGGCGGAUCCUUAAGUCGGGGGUGAAAUCCUGGAGCUCAACUCCAGAACUGCCUUCGAUACUGAGGAUCUCGAGUCCGGGAGAGGUGAGUGGAACUGCGAGUGUAGAGGUGAAAUUCGUAGAUAUUCGCAAGAACACCAGUGGCGAAGGCGGCUCACUGGCCCGAUACUGACGCUGAGGCGCGAAAGCGUGGGGAGCAAACAGG